AUUGAACGCUGGCGGCAGGCCUAACACAUGCAAGUCGAACGAGUGGCGGACGGGUGAGUAAUGUCUGGGAAACUGCCUGAUGGAGGGGGAUAACUACUGGAAACGGUAGCUAAUCCCGCAUACCAUCAGCUUUGCUCAGAUGGGAUUAGCUUGUUGGUGGGGUAACGGCUCACCAAGGCGACGAUCCCUAGCUGGUCUGAGAGGCUGACCGGCCACAAUGGAACUGAGUCACGGUCCAGACUCCUACUGGAGGCAGCAGUGGGGAAUAUUGCACAAUGGGCGCAAGCCUGAUGCAGCCAUGCCGGGGGUAUGAAGAAGGCCUGCGGGUAGUAAAGUACUUUCAGCGGGGAGGCGUUACCCGCAGAAGAAGCACCGGCUAACUCCGUGCCAGCAGCCGCGUAAUUC
rnacentral:rRNA from 1 species